CUCGUAGGCGGUUCGUCGCGUCCGGUGUGAAAGUCCAUCGCUUAACGGUGGAUCCGCGCCGGGUACGGGCGGGCUUGAGUGCGGUAGGGGAGACUGGAAUUCCCGGUGUAACGGUGGAAUGUGUAGAUAUCGGGAAGAACACCAAUGGCGAAGGCAGGUCUCUGGGCUGUCACUGACGCUGAGGAGCGAAAGCGUGGGGAGCGAACA
rnacentral:rRNA from 1 species